CCUACGGGUGGCAGCAGUGGGGAAUAUUGGACAAUGGGCGAAAGCCUGAUCCAGCCAUGCCGCGUGUGUGAAGAAGGCCUUCGGGUUGUAAAGCACUUUCAGUGGGGAAGAAAGCCUUGGGGCUAAUACCCUCGAGGAAGGACAUCACCCACAGAAGAAGCACCGGCUAACUCCGUGCCAGCAGCCGCGGUAAUACAGGAGGGUGCGAGCGUGAAUCGGAAUUACUGGGCGUAAAGCGCGCGUAGGCGGUCUGAUAAGCCGGUUGUGAAAGCCCCGGGCUCAACCUGGGAACGGCAUCCGGAACUGUCAGGCUAGAGUGCAGGAGAGGAAGGUAGAAUUCCCGGUGUAGCGGUGAAAUGCGUAGAGAUCGGGAGGAAUACCAGUGGCGAAGGCGGCCUUCUGGACUGACACUGACGCUGAGGUGCGAAAGCGUGGGUAGCAAACAGGAUUAGAUACCCUAGUAGUC
rnacentral:rRNA from 1 species